rnacentral:rRNA from 1 species
GACGAACGCUGGCGGCGUGCUUAACACAUGCAAGUCGAACGGAAAGGCCCUGCUUUUGUGGGGUGCUCGAGUGGCGAACGGGUGAGUAACACGUGAGUAACCUGCCCUUGACUUUGGGAUAACUUCAGGAAACUGGGGCUAAUACCGGAUAGGAGCUCCUGCUGCAUGGUGGGGGUUGGAAAGUUUCGGCGGUUGGGGAUGGACUCGCGGCUUAUCAGCUUGUUGGUGGGGUAGUGGCUUACCAAGGCUUUGACGGGUAGCCGGCCUGAGAGGGUGACCGGCCACAUUGGGACUGAGAUACGGCCCAGACUCCUACGGGAGGCAGCAGUGGGGAAUAUUGCACAAUGGGCGGAAGCCUGAUGCAGCGACGCCGCGUGCGGGAUGACGGCCUUCGGGUUGUAAACCGCUUUCGCCUGUGACGAAGCGUGAGUGACGGUAAUGGGUAAAGAAGCACCGGCUAACUACGUGCCAGCAGCCGCGGUGAUACGUAGGGUGCGAGCGUUGUCCGGAUUUAUUGGGCGUAAAGGGCUCGUAGGUGGUUGAUCGCGUCGGAAGUGUAAUCUUGGGGCUUAACCCUGAGCGUGCUUUCGAUACGGGUUGACUUGAGGAAGGUAGGGGAGAAUGGAAUUCCUGGUGGAGCGGUGGAAUGCGCAGAUAUCAGGAGGAACACCAGUGGCGAAGGCGGUUCUCUGGGCCUUUCCUGACGCUGAGGAGCGAAAGCGUGGGGAGCGAACAGGCUUAGAUACCCUGGUAGUCCACGCUGUAAACGGUGGGUACUAGGUGUGGGGUCCAUUCCACGGGUUCCGUGCCGUAGCUAACGCUUUAAGUACCCCGCCUGGGGAGUACGGCCGCAAGGCUAAAACUCAAAGGAAUUGACGGGGCCCCGCACAAGCGGCGGAGCAUGCGGAUUAAUUCGAUGCAACGCGUAGAACCUUACCUGGGUUUGACAUGGAUCGGGAGUGCUCAGAGAUGGGUGUGCCUCUUUUGGGGUCGGUUCACAGGUGGUGCAUGGCUGUCGUCAGCUCGUGUCGUGAGAUGUUAGGUUAAGUCCCGCAACGAGCGCAACCCUUGUUCACUGUUGCCAGCACGUUAUGGUGGGGACUCAGUGGAGACCGCCGGGGUCAACUCGGAGGAAGGUGGGGAUGACGUCAAGUCAUCAUGCCCCUUAUGUCCAGGGCUUCACGCAUGCUACAAUGGCUGGUACAGAGAGUGGCGAGCCUGUGAGGGUGAGCGAAUCUCGGAAAGCCGGUCUCAGUUCGGAUUGGGGUCUGCAACUCGACCUCAUGAAGUCGGAGUCGCUAGUAAUCGCAGAUCAGCAACGCUGCGGUGAAUACGUUCCCGGG